rnacentral:tRNA from 1 species
GGGGGUAUAGCUCAGCUGGAUAGAGCACCGGCCUUCUAAGCCGGUGGCCGCAGGUUCGAAUCCUGCUACCCCCGCCA